CCGAGCCUCCGUCUACGCAGGCAGUCAGCCGGCCUGCCCCGGGAGGAGGGCCCGUCGAGGGGAGGCGGCCAAGCGGUAGCGGUAGCAACGGAGGAGCCGGCGGCCUGCUCAGCCCAGGGUGGCCGUGCGACCGGGCUCCUUAACGCUGCGCUUGCCGGCUGUCGCCCACCUCCCUGGCAGUGUUACCGCCCCCGGCCUGCGAGCAACAUGAGAGUAGUGGCUUUGAUCAGUGGCGGGAAGGACAGUUGUUAUAAUAUGAUGCAGUGUGUUGCUGCUGGGCAUCAGAUUGUUGCUCUGGCCAAUUUAAGACCUGCUGAAAAUACAGGGCAGACUGAUGAAUUGGACAGCUAUAUGUAUCAGACAGUAGGACACCAUGCCAUUGACCUAUAUGCUGAUGCAUUGGAUUUGCCACUCUAUCGUGGUUUUAUAAAAGGUACCAGUGUAAAUACUGGAAGAGUGUAUACUGCAUGCCAGGAAGAUGAGGUUGAAGACCUUUACCAGCUCAUGAAACUUGUUAAGAACAAAGAAGGAGUAGAGGGUGUAUCUGUGGGAGCCAUUCUUUCUGACUACCAGAGAGUUCGAGUGGAAGAUGUGUGCAGAAGGCUUAAUCUUCAGCCUUUAGCUUACCUCUGGCAUUGGAACCAGGAAGUGCUGCUUAAAGAAAUGAUAUCAUCUAAUGUUCAAGCCAUAAUCAUAAAAGUGGCAGCUUUCGGUUUAGACCCAGAUAAACAUCUAGGAAAAACUCUAGGUGAAAUGGAACCUAUUCUUUUGGAGCUCUCUGAGAAAUAUGGAGUCCAUAUUUGUGGAGAAGGAGGAGAAUAUGAAACAUUCACUCUGGACUGCCCUCUGUUUAAGAAGAAAAUAGUUGUAGAUUCAGCAAAGGUGGUCAUGCAUUCGGCUGAUGCAUUUGCACCUGUGGCCUACCUUCAUUUUUUAAAACUACACCUGGAGAAUAAGCAGGAAGAAUCCUCGGGUACUUUUGUGGUCAGUAGCUGUUCUUGUGAGAUAAGCUGCACAGAUGAUGAUAUUCUCCCUUUAUCAGAAGAGUAUGAACCACAGAAAAAUAUUCCAGUCAUCUGGAAGACUUUGAAACAUAACUCUUUGGAUUUCACUAAGACAUUUCAAAAUUCAAGAAAAUCCCUGAGUGGUUACCAGUGGUUUUCAGGUAUCACUGCCCACUUCCUUCCAUCAAAGGAUAAAAAUGCUCAAGAUGCAGCACGGGAAGCAUUUUCUUCUCUCAGAGAUAAUUUGACUUCAGAGGGAUUGAAACUGAAGGAUAUUAUUUUGGUUCAUCUAUAUAUGAAAAGUAUGAAAGAUUUCAGUGUUAUAAACUCAGUUUAUGUGACAGAAUUUGAUUUGUGUCCACCAGCAAGAGUAUGUGUGGAAACACGGUUACCUGAUGGAGUGCUGUUUUGCAUUGACUGCCUUGCACAUAAAUAUGAUGUGGCAAUGGAUGGUGUAGUACAUGAUGAAAAGCUGGUCCUGCAUGUACAGAGCAUUUCCCACUGGGCACCUGCCAGCAUAGGACCUUACAGUCAGUCCAUCAAGGUUGGUGAUGUUCUGUACUGUGCAGGACAGAUUGCUCUGGUACCUUGCACGAUGCAGCUUGUUAGCGGUGGCGUACGCGCAGAGGCCAGCGUUUCCCUCCGCCACGUUGGGCGAGUUCUUCAAGCCAUGAGCCAGAAGACUACACUCCACCACGUCAUCACAGCCAGCUGCUACGUAACCAACAGCAAGAGCAUUCCCAUUGCACGCUCUAUAUGGCAGAAGAAAUUAAGAGAAUGCAAAAAGGAUGAAGAUUCAGAGAUGUAUCGUGAUGAAACUGCAGUAGGUGGGUUGCUUGCUGUGGUUGUAAUAUCUCACCUACCCAGAGAUGCUGCCAUUGAAUGGCAUGUUGUUGCAGUAGUUGAUGAUCCACUCCAAAGAAAACAUUUUGCAAUGAAGAUGUUGUCAGAGGCCUUCCAAAUUGAGUGUGAAUCUGUGGAGUCUAGUUCUGCAUCUUGUGCAUCCAUCUCAGUACGCCUGAGCUUGAUUUCAUCAUCCACUUCUCACCUUGAUUUAGAUGGACCUCUUCAUGACUUAGUUGCUAUGUUUAAACAAGCUGUUGACAGACUUUCAGAAGACUGCAGUGCCAGUCCUUUGUCCUUUAGAGUUUUCUUCAAGGAGCAUGUCUUUGAUGCUGAAACACUGCAAAAAGGACUGCAAGAAUACCUUGAAAAAUAUUUGGAAGAGAAGACCCCAGCUCUGAUUUUAGUACCUGUGGUGGAUUUACCUGACAAAGAUGUUAUUCAUGUAACAUGCUGGCUAAGCUAGCAGUUUAAAGGAGAUGAGUUGAUAUCAAACACACAUCCAUUCCAUCCAGGAGAGGACAAAGAAAGAGUUGAUGCUAACUCCGUUGGAUACUUUCAUGAAGCAAUAUUGCUUUGAUUUAAGCAAAGUCAUAUUACCUUGUUCAUGAUGCCUCAUGAUAUGUGACAGAGUCAGAUCUGGUAGACAGCUGUUAUUAAAGUGCUACCAACAUUCAGGUAACUACCAGCUACCAGUAUUCACAGCUAUCAUAGACCCCAGGCUUCAGUUUUCUCCAGAAAAUCAACAGGAGUUUUUGCACUGCUUUCACUAAAACAGGCUCAGACACACAGGUGAAGCUCUGUCAAUUCCAUUGCCACUGAUCUUUUACGCAUUACAUAAGGUAAGUAUGGAAAAGAAAGUCUUUUGGACUUUGCUUGAAGCAAUAACACACUGCAGAAGAAUCUUACUUUCAGACAAAGGCUACACAAUUAUAUCUUCAAGAACAAGUAUCAAACCUUUACCUUGCCUAUAUACUGUCACUGUUUCUCUUCCAGAGUGUGAGCACUGGAGCUAGGAGACCAGCACUCCAGUUAUGCUUCUCUUCCACCAGCAUAUAGCUGAGAUACCUCCACAAAACUCUACGGCAGGAUGUUCACAUUGAGGUGACUAUGAGGUGGACUUAGCACUCCAGUUCAAUUUUCUUCCCCACUAUCACAAAUGCACUUGGCAGCACCUGAUAUAAAACAAGAGACUAAAGAGGAUCUUUCUCUGUUAGAACUUCUACAUGUACAGCGUACUGUGCUGAUCAACAUUUGAAAUUAGAAACUGUUAAAUGUUAUUGUCCCUUAUUAUUGCUUCCAAAUAAUAUAGCAGAGCUGCCAUCUUCUAGCAAGAAUUACUUUUUUCACAGAUCUUUAAAUGUUUUUGAAAGGAGCAAAGCAACGAGUUUUUUAUGUAACAGUGUAUGAAUAAAUGCUUGUAUUAGAUUUCUUAAGGAAAAAGAGAUUAAUCUGUUAACAAUGCAUUAGUUGAUUAGUAUUCAGGAUCAUUUUUAGGUUAGACUUAAACAUAUUUGAUCCUUUCCCACGAUCAAAAAAGGACUUGUUAAUACCUGGAUGUGCCUGGUUUAUUUGAAUUCUACUCUUUUAGAAGGCUAACUCAUUUUCUCACUUCUCCCUGAAAAUACCAAUAUUUUAUAUCUCUCAGUGUGGACUGUCCAUGGGCCAAGACACAAUGGACUGUAAGAGAAGAAGAGAAUAUGUACUUUCAGAGAUAAGGGUGAAGCUUAUUUUUCCAUUGAUGCAUAUGGAAACAAAAUAGAUGGUAUAAAUUUCACUGUGUCUCCUGUAGCAGUCAUUUUUUUCACUGUGAGUUUAAAAAAGAUGAAACACAUUGAUCUUAGCUUUUGUACUGUACUGGAUAUUUUAAGGUAGCAGGAUAUUCACUCCUAAAGAAACCAGCUUUUCCUGCAAGUCUUCCUACAAGAUUCAUGAUUCAAACUAGCCUGCUUUUUUUCUCUGUAGAGCUGCACUGAGAAAUGGUGACAGAAUGCAUUGGUCUGAAAAACAGUGUGAUCUUUUAUUUUUCUCUCAGCUGAAAACGAGCUUUUUCCUUUUUUUGAGAGAAAUAGAACUUCAACAGGUUUAAAUUGUGAAUACAUAAAAAAGAACAGUUUGCUGACUUUUUCUCCUAGAGAGGCUUCAAACAGUUUCUGAGUGGUGUGAACGACUAUAAGCUCAAUCUACACUGUUUUAAGUAUGAACAAGGCCAUUUGUGCAACACUGAUGUGCAAAGUAGGUGAGUAAAGUGGUGUGCCAUAGAGAGGCCUAAGACUCUUAUAAUAGAGAGAAAUAGCACCAUUUUAUCUACCUUAAGAUGCUGGAUUUCCAUCGGAAUUAGUGGCUCCUACUACAAAUAAGAUGUUUCAGCAGAGCUCUUUUUGACUUUCUUUGUAAUAAAGUGGUAGACAAUGAUAUGACCUGGGGAGAUGGGUACAGACAUGCACACACACACAGACACCCACACUGUUUAGUGAAAAGAGGGAAAGACAUCAGUACUCAACAUUUAUAGAUAUGGGGGGGAGGUUGUGGUUUUUUGUUGUGUUGGUUUGGGUUUUUUUCACAGCAAGCUUAGUGGAGUGAUUACCCCAGUAAAUUUUAAUCUUGAGACUAUAAAUUCCAUAUGUGCUAAGACACUGGUUUUGAGGACUUGCAUGCACACAAAUUCUUCUCUUUCUCUGAUUUUUACUAAGCCUGCAGGAAAAUGUUUUGUAUACUUAUUAUGACACAAAAUGUCAUUAUU